rnacentral:lncRNA from 1 species
GACUGGCCCAUAGUCCACGAGGGACACUGUAACCACCAUGCUGUGCUCUGUCUUACAGUUGAAGCACAUUCCUCCCUGCGGAUUCCUGUACUAUAAACAGCUGCAAUCUCUCUUCAGACAGUGUGGGCAGGUCAAGUCCAUCGUAUUUGAUGGUGCGAAAGCCUUUGUGGAGUUUUCCCGGAAUCCGACAGAGAGAUUUAAGACCCUUCCUGCAGUGUACAUGGCAGUGAAGAUGGCCCAGCUGAAAAUGUCCCUGGAGCUCAGUGUCCAUGCUGCUGAGGACAUAGAAGGGAAGGUGCAAGGAGGGGUGGUGUCGAAGCUCAGGAACACGAGGUAUUUCCAGAGGCCGCCGUGGCAGCAGCUCGCUUUGUCAGCGGCUUUCUCAGCACUGUCAGCCUCGCCUGUGCUCGGUUGCAGGCUCUGGCUUCAUAGUCAGGUGUCUGCACUGGAUGUGGUUUUGUCCCCCGUGUGCCGACCGAGUACUUUACUUAACCUUUCCUUGCUUUUCACCUAUUUAAUAGAUGUGCCCAUUGUACAUGGCUAUGGAGAGGACUGAGUAAAAGCAUUCACAUAGUUUCCACUUUAUUGUAGAGAUUAAACCCUAAUGUAAACUUUAUUUCUUCCUUCCUGUGUUUAUUGUUUCCCUUUGAGAGCUCUUUGUAUGAAAAGCAGAGUUUGUCUUGGCCUUACCAGGGCCAAGGGUGGACGCAUAGUGUGCAAUUGGAGCGCCUGUGCUUGCAGCUUGCCCUGGUCUCCACUUCUGGGGUGCGGACUGGGACUGCUGCCCUGGCUGUGUGUCUCAGGGUGGAGUGUCUCAGGGCGGGGCAGUAGACAUGGUGCUCCCAGCUCUUCUUUGUAAUAGGUUCCUUGCCUCCUGGCCACAGAGGUAGGAAGUAUGAUUUAUUGCUUCUCAUACAUGAUCUGUGGGAUUCUAGGGUGAGUUUGGCAGGGGUCUGAGGAAGCAUGCUCCACCUGCUGUCAUCCAGUGCUCAGUGUUUUGGCUUCUGAGCCUUCAGCAGGUGGGGGGCCGUGUCCUCGAGAGACACGAGAAGGCCAUUCUGUUUCGCAGAGCCAGCUUCAGCUCAGUGCUGAAGCCUCUCACGUGUGAAGGAGAUAGUGGAUCCUGGUGCUCCUGCAGUUCAUCCCUUCAUUUAGA